GGCUACCGCGCUGUCUCCUCAGCAUCCAGAGUUGACCCUUGAGAACCGUUCAAGAUGAAACUGUUCUCGGCCACCCUCAUUCUCGCCCUUGUGGCCUACAGCUCUGCUGUUCCCGUGGAGCACGACGAGGACGUGUCGUCCGAGUUGACCGUCGACGAGUUGGUUGACGCCGUCCAGAGCAUCGAGUCCCUGGAGAACAUCGCCACGGAGGAUCAGUCGUACUUCCUGAAGAAAAUCAAGCGGGCCAUCAAGAGGAGUUCCAAGAACUUAUCGACUCCUUCCAUGGCCUCGAACAGACGCUCCCUUCAGAUUCUGACUACGGAUUCGGGAAGAAGCUCAGAAAGGGACUGAAGAAGAUCGGGAGAGCCAUCGAGAAGGGCGCCAAGAAGAUCCUUGAAAGGGGAGUACGCGUCACCAUUCCCUUCUAAACUGGAUCCGAACGACG
rnacentral:lncRNA from 1 species